rnacentral:rRNA from 1 species
UACGUAGGGUGCGAGCGUUGUCCGGAAUUAUUGGGCGUAAAGAGCUCGUAGGCGGUUCAUUGCGUCGACUGUGAAAACCCGAGGCUCAACCUCGGGACGUCGGCGGAAACCAUCUGGCUAGAGUCCGGAAGAGGAGAGUGGAAUUCCAGGUGUAGCGGUGAAAUGCGUAGAUAUCUGGAGGAACACCGGUGGCGAAGGCGGCAUUCUGGACCGAUAUUGACGCUGAGGAGCGAAAGCCAGGGGAGGCAAACGGGG